rnacentral:rRNA from 1 species
AUUGAACGCUGGCGGCAGGCCUAACACAUGCAAGUCGAACGAGUGGCGGACGGGUGAGUAAUGUCUGGGAAACUGCCUGAUGGAGGGGGAUAACUACUGGAAACGGUAGCUAAUACCGCAUACCAUCGGAUGUGCCCAGAUGGGAUUCGCUUGUUGGUGGGGUAACGGCUCACCCAGGCGACGAUCCCUAGCUGGUCUGAGAGGAUGACCAGCCACAAUGGAACUGGGACACGGUCCAGACUCCUACGGGAGGCAGCAGUGGGGAAUAUGGCACAAUGGGCGCAAGCCUGAUGCAGCAAUGCCGCGUGUAUGAAGAAGGCCGUCGGGUUGUAAAGUACUUUCAGCGGGGAGGCGUUACCCGCAGAAGAAGCACCGGCUAACUCCGUGCCAGCAGCCGCGGUAAUAC